UCUUGCUACCUUUCAUGAGUUCCAGGGUCUUUCAUGGGCAUCUACCAUGUGAAGAGUAAGGGUAUGAAGGUAUUUCUGGAGCUGAAAGGCAACAAAUUGAGAACUGGCACGCACACCCCAAAAUAUUUCUGUGCUAAAUACAUCUUCCUACAGACACUUUUAAAGCUUUUUCAAAAAACUACUGCCUAGCAUUAAGCUGUUCAUCUCCCAGG